rnacentral:rRNA from 1 species
CUUUGCUGACGAGUGGCGGACGGGUGAGUAAUGUCUGGGAAACUGCCUGAUGGAGGGGGAUAACUACUGGAAACGGUAGCUAAUACCGCAUAACGUCGCAAGACCAAAGAGGGGGACCUUCGGGCCUCUUGCCAUCGGAUGUGCCCAGAUGGGAUUAGCUUGUUGGUGGGGUAACGGCUCACCAAGGCGACGAUCCCUAGCUGGUCUGAGAGGAUGACCAGCCACACUGGAACUGAGACACGGUCCAGACUCCUACGGGAGGCAGCAGUGGGGAAUAUUGCACAAUGGGCGCAAGCCUGAUGCAGCCAUGCCGCGUGUAUGAAGAAGGCCUUCGGGUUGUAAAGUACUUUCAGCGGGGAGGAAGGGAGUAAAGUUAAUACCUUUGCUCAUUGACGUUACCCGCAGAAGAAGCACCGGCUAACUCCGUGCCAGCAGCCGCGGUAAUACGGAGGGUGCAAGCGUUAAUCGGAAUUACUGGGCGUAAAGCGCACGCAGGCGGUUUGUUAAGUCAGAUGUGAAAUCCCCGGGCUCAACCUGGGAACUGCAUCUGAUACUGGCAAGCUUGAGUCUCGUAGAGGGGGGUAGAAUUCCAGGUGUAGCGGUGAAAUGCGUAGAGAUCUGGAGGAAUACCGGUGGCGAAGGCGGCCCCCUGGACGAAGACUGACGCUCAGGUGCGAAAGCGUGGGGAGCAAACAGGAUUAGAUACCCUGGUAGUCCACGCCGUAAACGAUGUCGACUUGGAGGUUGUGCCCUUGAGGCGUGGCUUCCGGAGCUAACGCGUUAAGUCGACCGCCUGGGGAGUACGGCCGCAAGGUUAAAACUCAAAUGAAUUGACGGGGGCCCGCACAAGCGGUGGAGCAUGUGGUUUAAUUCGAUGCAACGCGAAGAACCUUACCUGGUCUUGACAUCCACAGAACUUUCCAGAGAUGGAUUGGUGCCUUCGGGAACUGUGAGACAGGUGCUGCAUGGCUGUCGUCAGCUCGUGUUGUGAAAUGUUGGGUUAAGUCCCGCAACGAGCGCAACCCUUAUCCUUUGUUGCCAGCGGUCCGGCCGGGAACUCAAAGGAGACUGCCAGUGAUAAACUGGAGGAAGGUGGGGAUGACGUCAAGUCAUCAUGGCCCUUACGACCAGGGCUACACACGUGCUACAAUGGCGCAUACAAAGAGAAGCGACCUCGCGAGAGCAAGCGGACCUCAUAAAGUGCGUCGUAGUCCGGAUUGGAGUCUGCAACUCGACUCCAUGAAGUCGGAAUCGCUAGUAAUCGUGGAUCAGAAUGCCACGGUGAAUACGUUCCCGGGCCUUGUACACACCGCCCGUCACACCAUGGGAGUGGGUUGCAAAAGAAGUAGGUAGCUUAACCUUCGGGAGGGCGCUUACCACUUUGUGAUUCAUGACUGGGGUGAAGUCGUAACAAGGUAACCGUAGGGGAACCUGCGGUUGGAUCACCUCCUUACCUUAAAGAAGC